rnacentral:rRNA from 1 species
UACGGAGGAUGCGAGCGUUAUCCGGAUUUAUUGGGUUUAAAGGGAGCGUAGACGGUGAUGCAAGUCAGAAGUGAAAGCCCGGGGCUCAACUCCGGGACUGCUUUUGAAACUGUUUUUCUUGAGUACUGGAGAGGCAGACGGAAUUCCUAGUGUAGCGGUGAAAUGCGUAGAUAUUAGGAGGAACACCAGUGGCGAAGGCGGUCUGCUGGACAGCAACUGACGCUGAGGCGCGAAAGCGUGGGGAGCAAACAGG